UGUACUCCAAUUUCUAUGCAGUUGGAACGUUUGUCUACGUUUACCGCUAGGGGCGCUGUUCCAAUUGCAUAUAAAUUUUAGCUA
rnacentral:pre_miRNA from 1 species